UUACCUCUCCAAAAAAUUUCCCAUCAAAACCGUUGGUCCUCUGUUCAAAUAUCCAAAAGAACUAGGUCCUACAUCUAGUGAUGUCCAAGGUGAUUUUAUGAAGGUAGAAAAUUGCAUAGAUUGGCUUGAUGCAAAAUCACCAUCCUCUGUAGUGUACAUUUCCUUUGGUAGUGUGGUCAUAUUAAAAAAAGAACAAGCGGAGGAAAUAGCAUAUGGAUUGUUGAAUUCAGGUGUGAACUUUUUGUGGGUCAUUAGGCCACCUACCAAACUCCAAAAUUUUGAUUCAUUAUUAUUACCUAGUGAAUUUCUAGAAAAAGCAGGAGAUAGAGCGAAAAUAGUGCAAUGGUGUCCACAAGAACAAGUUUUGUCCCAUCCGUCAGUGGCUUGUUUUGUGACCCACUGUGGUUGGAAUU
rnacentral:lncRNA from 1 species